AACCGCGGUUAUACGAGAGGCCCAAAUUGAUGCAUCACGGCGUAAAGUGUGAUUAGAGACAAAUUAAAACUAGAACCAAAUACCCCUUAUGCUGUCAUACGCCAUGGGGGUCACGAAGCCCGACAACGAAAGUGGUUCUAUAAACCUUGAACUCACGACAGCUAAGACA
rnacentral:rRNA from 1 species